rnacentral:rRNA from 1 species
UACGAGAGGCGCAAACGUUAUUCGGAUUUACUGGGCUUAAAGAGUUCGUAGGCGGCGCAGAAAGUAGGGUGUGAAAGCCCUCGGCUUAACCGAGGAAUUGCGCUCUAAACUACUGUGCUUGAGGGACCUAGAGGUGAGCGGAACUGAUGGUGGAGCGGUGAAAUGCGUUGAUAUCAUCAGGAACACCGGAGGCGAAGGCGGCUCACCGGGGGUCUUCUGACGCUGAGGAACGAAAGCCAGGGGAGCGAACGGG